UACGUAGGUGGCAAGCGUUGUCCGGAUUUAUUGGGUUUAAAGGGUGCGUAGGCGGCUUUGUAAGUCAGUGGUGAAAUACUCUAGCUUAACUAGAGGGGUGCCAUUGAUACUGCAGAGCUUGAGUACAGAUGAGGUAGGCGGAAUUGACGGUGUAGCGGUGAAAUGCGUAGAGAUGUGGAGGAACACCAGUGGCGAAGGCGGCUUUCUGGUCUGUAACUGACGCUGAGGCGCGAAAGCGUGGGGAGCAAACAGG
rnacentral:rRNA from 1 species